rnacentral:lncRNA from 1 species
AUCGAUAUUACAGCAUCUGUGCUGUUACGUGACACUUUCUGAGGCUUCCAUUGGCUCUCUGAAGCGUUCAGAAAGUGGAAUGACGCGUCUCUGGGCAAAGUACAGCAGCAGAGUUUGUAAGUGGCCUGCCUGGGGACAGUGAGACUGAGAUGCGCGUUCACGAGACUUCUCAAUUCUUUUCUUUCAGUCUUUUAAUGAAUACAACAUUGGAAUAUUAUCGCUAUUUUACGAGAAAAAUAGCAUAAAAAUGUAUUUUAAACAGCGUUUGACAUGCUUCUAAGUUCGGUAAUGGAAUAUUUUGAAUUUUUUUGUCACGAAAUGCACUCGGAUAGUGACCUGAACGCAAAAACAAAACGGAGGUAUUUGGAUAUAAAUAUGGAUUAUUUGGAACCAAAACAACAUUUGUUGUUGAAGUAGAAGUCCUGGGAGUGCAUUCUGACGAAGAACAGCAGAGAGGACCUGAGCCCUAGGACCAUGCCUCAGGAUGACCUGGCCUGAUGACUCCUUGCUAUCCCCAGUCCACCUGGCCAUGCUGCUGCUCCAGUUUCAACUGUUCUGCCUGCGGCUAUGGAACCCUGACCUGUUCACUGGACGUGCUACCUGUCCCAGAUCUGCUGUUUUCAACUCUCUAGAGACAGCAGGAGCGGUAGAGAUACUCUGAAUGAUCGGCUAUGAAAAACCAACUGACAUUUACUCCUGAGGUGCUGACUUGUUGCACCCUCGACAAUCACUGUGAUUAUUAUUAUUUGACCCUGCUGGUCAUCUAUAAACAUUUGAACAUCUUGGCCAUGAUCUGUUAUAAUCUCCACCCGGCACAGCCAGAAGAGGACUGGCCACCCCUCAUAGCCUGGUUCCUCUCUAGGUGUCUUCCUAGGUUUUGGCCUUUCUAGGGAGUUUUUCCUAGCCACUGUGCAUCUACACCUGCAUUGCUUGCUGUUUGGGGUUUUAGGCUGGCUUUCUGUACAGCACUUUGAGAUAUCAGCUGAUGUAAGAAGGGCUUUAUAAAUACAUUUGAUUUUGAUUUGAUUUGAUUUGUUGUGCACUAUCCUCAAACAAUAGCAUGGUAUUUUUUUCUGUAAUAGCUAUUGUAAAUUGGACACUGCUGUUAGAUUAACAAGAAUUUAAGCUUUAUGCCCAUAUAAGACAUGUCCAUGUUCAGGAAAGUUGGCUGUUUUCUAGUCACAUUAUCGCAUAUUGAGCAACAACCGUCCCGAUCCCCGAUCCCGUAGCUUUAAAUCAACACAUUGCCAAACCAUAACGCUCAUUAAAGAGCUCAUUGAAAGACUGAAUAAAUGGCUUUACAGUUACCUUAUCUUUGAUAACAUUCAAGAAGAAUCGAGAAUAUCACCAAGAAGAAUAUGACCUAAGAAACAAACGGUACUGUUCACAUGAGACAUUGCAUAAAGGGAAGAGAAACUUCCAUCGACAGAAGCCAAUCAGAUGCCGAGAAAUGUAGGUAUGUUUUGAAUCAAAUCCUUACCUGACUAAGGUGGAGUGAUAGCGGCCACAGACAAACCACUGAUUAUAUUUAAUUGACUUCCCCUCAUUUUGUAAUACUGUAAAUGUCUAAAAUGCUGUAAAGUCUGAAAAAGACAGACUUCAGGUGAUUAUUUUAGUAUAGUAAAAAACAUUUUGGUCUGUGGUUGAUGUGUCAUGGCAGUAAUAGGGGUUAACCUUAGUGGCCUCUAGAGAAAGUGAGACAUACUAAAAAAUGAACCACUCCUACUAAAAAAUGAACCACUCCUUCACCCAUUCAUUCUUGAACGUAGACAAAUGGUAUGUCACUGUCAAACGCGUAUUCAACCAAAUGGAAUUGCUACAUACUUUAUAUAAUUUAAAGUAUUAAGUGUGAAGUUAUUGGAGGAAGCAUGUGGUCGACUGUGAUGAUGAUGAGGAUGAUCAUGAUGAAUGUGAUAAUAAUGGUAAAUAAUUUAAGAAGUUAAUGAUUGAAGAAGUUUGUGAGGCUUUGUGAACAAGUUCAUGGCUGUGCUUGAAUUGAGAAGUGUACAUGUAAUAGCCAAGAUAUAGCCAAAACACUGCCAUGAGUCCUCAUUUCCUUUUCUGAGAUGUACUUUUUGUUGAGUUUAAUUAAAAAUGUGUACCACACAAAGCUACUCACAACAAUCAACUUUGAUUACAGGGUACAUGUAUGAUAUCAUCUAAAUGUUAUUAUUCCGCUUGAAGACAGAUUUGCCACAAUAAAGCCUGACCACAAUCUGGGGAAGUGUGUUUGUGUGUGUCUGUGACCCAGAAGUUGAGACAAACAGGGAAGAGCCAUGCUAGGAUCUAGUCAUGAAGAGCAGAUAAAUGUCUUUAUGUGUCUGACUGGGUUUGAACCCAUGUGAUCUGCAUGCUACGCUAGAGAGAUAAACCUUAAGAAAUGGUUUAUGG